GCAGCCAGUAGAAUCAAUAACAAUUAUAUCUCCAUAUUGAGUUUAGCCCUUAACCUGAACAUUUUUCUUAAUUUUAUGUUUACAUUCAUAUAGUGUUUAAUUCUUACACAGUUCCCUGUGGUAAGUAGGUGAGGGGUUGUUACCUUUGAUUUUUGUACUGCGUUUUACAUGAGACAUAUUUGUGAAAUCCAUUUUUAUAAAUAGUUUGAAGCCCAGUGAGGCUGAGUAACUACUCCAGGAUCACUUGUUUAGUAUUUGGCUUGAGCAGGAUUACAGUUUAGUUCUUCCAUCUGAUUCUGCCUCUCUUCUAGUACCUCCUCAUCCAUUUGCUAUAAAAGUAGCCCAGCAGCUGAAUUGCCAUGUGAUACUGCGCCCUUCUUACCAACCAGGUGAUGGCAAUAAUAGGAAAAGAGGCAAAAGAUCAGGAGACCUUUACCACAUGUGCUGCCCAAGUAGUUGUAGCAACUGAAGCUACAAUCCUAGCAUCAACCAAAAUGUGUGUCCAGUCAGAAAAACAGAGUCCUCAUAACCUCUAA
rnacentral:lncRNA from 1 species